rnacentral:rRNA from 1 species
CUUGACAAACUUAUAAGAGGUCCAGCCUGCCCAGUGACUCUGUUCAACGGCCGCGGUAUCCUAACCGUGCGAAGGUAGCGUAAUCACUUGUUCUUUAAAUGAGGACUAGUAUGAAUGGCAUCACGAAGGUUAUACUGUCUCCUUUUUCUAAUCAGUGAAACUAAUCUUCCCGUGAAGAAACGGGAAUAAAAAUAUAAGACGAGAAGACCCUAUGGAGCUUUAAACAAAUAUACACCUGCCUCUUUACCAAAAAUUUCAGAAGACAAGUAAUUACCCGGGCAUUUUGAUAUAGCGUUUUAGGUUGGGGUGACCACGGAGCAAAAAAUAACCUCCGCAGCGAACGGGAGUAUUCCCUAAACCAAGGGCCACAACCCCAAGUAUUGAUAAAUCAACACCAAUUGACCCA